UACGUACCGUACAAACGUUAUUCGGAAUUACUGGGCUUAAAGGGUUUGUAGGCGGCUUUGUAAGUGGGGUGUGAAAUCCCUCGGCUCAACCGAGGAACGGCGCUCCAAACUGCAAGGCUUGAGGGAGACAGAGGUAAGCGGAACUGAUGGUGGAGCGGUGAAAUGCGUUGAUAUCAUCAGGAACACCGGUGGCGAAAGCGGCUUACUGGGUCUCUUCUGACGCUGAGGAACGAAAGCGUGGGGAGCAAACCGG
rnacentral:rRNA from 1 species